UGUUGUCCGUGUUUGCUGUUGAACGCCGCCUCUUAAUUUUCACCUUUUUUAUCUGUUUCCAGGAGCCUUGUUGACAAGGAUUUCCCUUCACCUCUGUUCUAUUUUUUGAUUCAGUACCCACCUUCUGGGCUUUCCCUAUUCUAUUUAUAAGUCACAUCAAAGGCUUCCUUUGAUGUGUUAUCUGUCCUCUAAUUGGCUAUUGUGUCCCCCAGUCUACUUCCUUUGGCAUACCUGUCUUCCACCUCACUCCAAUUGCUGUUGCUGAGGUGGAAACAUCUUUUCUUUCUUCAGAUACCUCAGCAACAGCCUCAUAAUAAAAUCAUACCAUCA